rnacentral:rRNA from 1 species
UGAGUAACACGUAUGCAAUCCACCUGUAACAGGGGGAUAACCCGGAGAAAUCCGGACUAAUACCCCAUAAUAUGGGCGCUCCGCAUGGAGAGUUCAUUAAAGAGAGCAAUUUUGGUUACAGACGAGCAUGCGCUCCAUUAGCCAGUUGGCGGGGUAACGGCCCACCAAGGCGACGAUGGAUAGGGGUUCUGAGAGGAAGGUCCCCCACAUUGGAACUGAGACACGGUUCAA